rnacentral:miRNA from 1 species
UAACGCAUAAUAUGGACAUG